AACUCAGUCUUCUGGAGGAAGAAGCGCCAGUAGGAAGAACGAGAUCGCGAAGCGAUGGAAGAACUCUACCGCGCUAAUAAAACACAGAAGUUCUUGGAGAAGCUUAACCACUCGCGCAGAGGCUUCGUGCCACAAGCUGACAUGUGCCGAGAGAAUCACGGGAAUCUUCUCACGGGCGAGCGUGAGGUGGUCGAGAGGUGGCAGCAGCACUACGAUGCGUGAUAAAAAAUCCAGGAGUACGUUCGCAGAACGACAGAUUUUCAGCCCCUAACCUCCAAGAGGUUGAGGAGGAGGUUGGCCGGUUGAAAAACAACAAAGCCGCUGAAGCAGAUAAACUACCAAACGAGCUUCUGAAAUACGGUGGAGAAGCACUGGUGAGAGCACUACACUGGGUCAUUAUCAAGAUUUGGGAGGAGGAAGUAUUUAUUACCGGAGAAAUGGAUGGAAAGUAUUGCGGAUUUUUAGAAAAAUUUCCACUCUGCGGUAGCCGCCGAGUCCUACCGCAGCUGUCAAAGUCCUACCGCAGGCUUGAAAAUCAUUCUAUCAUUGAAACUGAAGGCCAAAUCAAAGCAUGCUUGCCAGGUGAAUUGAACUGAAAACCAACAACAAACAAUGAUCAUCGGCGUCGUAUCCAAGGCUAUCCAAGGCAUCGCUAGGGCUCGCUAGGGUAGAUCGAUGAUACCUCAUUGAAAAUCAGUAGUCUGACAGCUGCGGUAGCUUUUCAUUCUACCGUAAAACGGAAAGUUUUCUCUAAAUUAGCAAUAUCGUGUGCCCCAUCUACAAACAGAGUGACAAGUUGGAUUGCGCGAACUAUCGCGCGAUUACACUACUGAGCGCUGUCUACAAGAUACUCUUUCAAAUUUUAUGUCACCGUCUAUCACCGAUUGCAAGAGAGUUCGCGGGGCAAUAUCAGACUGGAUUCAUGGGUGAACGCGCUACAAUGGACCAGAUGUUCGCCAUCCGCCAGGUGUUGUAUAAAUACCGCGAAUACAACGUGCCCACACAUCACUUUUUCAUCGAUUUUAAAUCGGCGUAUGAUACAAUCGAUCGAGACCAGCUAUGUCAGAUUAUGCACGACUACGGAUUCCCGGAUAAACUGGUAAGAUUGAUCUGUUUAAACUUGAUACAAUGCACAAUGGGAAAAAAUAGGUAUAAAACGCGAAUAAAUUCAAUAUCUCUGCUCGGAGUGAAUGGAUUUGAAUGAAUUUUUUACACAAACUGUAAAAUUCUCUAUAGUUUCAGAUAAGGAACGUCUCAUUCGCGCACGAUGCUGGAAGUUAAUGUGUUUAGCUCGUUUUACCCCACACUCUCUCUUUUUCGACUUAUUCGGAAAUUCCUGAAGUGCAAAAUAAAUGGUUUAUUUAAGUCGUGAUUGUGUAAAAACUUCCGUAGUAUCGAAUGGAGAUGAUUUGGCUCACCGCACGGCUUUAAAAAUUGAAAUAUAUCUUCAAAUAACCCCGAUAUCCCCUAUUUCUUUGAAAUUUCACAUGUAUCUCCGCCCGGAGUGGAACGCAAUCGAUAAGAGCAGGACCAACCAGGGAUUGGCGGCAUGCACCGUGCGGUGCGAAAAAAGCGUGUGCUUCACACAAUCGCAAGUGCUCGUCUCCCGUUUUGCCGAGAGACAAGAGACGUAUGACUGAGAGCUUUCGUAAUUGAGCGAGAGACAAUCGCAGCACUAGCUCUACGGCGCAGGGAGUAAUGCACGGUGCUUGGGACUGCGCUUGUCUCCAAACAGAAAAAAAUCAAUUAAUAAAUGAAUUAAAGAGUUUGUGUUUUCGGCAAAGUUGUUAAGCUUGUCAAGGGUUGACAAGUGAUGGGUCGUUUGAUUCGAAAUUUUUCCAAUCGUGCGUAGUAUCAAGCCAAGUGCCAAGCACGGAGGCAAGCUCCGAGAGAGUGCAUACGACAGAGCGUGAGAGACAGGAGAGCUCCAGCGCGCGGCAAAGUAAGCGAGCAACACACAACCGAUUGCGCGUACUCGUCUCCUUCUAGUUUAUUGUGCUGUCUCGUAGCAGAGUGUGCGGCACGCAAAGAGUUUUGAGUCGCACCUUAUCCCUGGGACCAACCCUAUCUUAAAUUGCCGAUACUAUGGAAGUUUUUACACAAAUACGAGUAAAAUAAGUCAUUUAUUUUGCGCGCCAGUCGGGAAUAGAUGAGGAUUUUCCCAAAAAGGUAUAUGAUAGAGAGAGUGGGGUAAAAUGAGCUAAAUUCACUGAUUUCCAGCAUCGUGCGGUGAAUGACUCAAAAAUUCAUUCGAAUCCAUCCACUCCGAGCAGAGAUAUUGAAUUUAUUCGCGUUUUAUACCUAUUUUUCCCACUGUGCAAUGGCGGAAACGUACAUCCGACUAAACAGUGAAGCCAGGCGAAUUGGAUUGGAGUCAUCAAUGUGUUGAGGACAAAGUACAUGAUGGCGAGGGCCUUUUUUUUUUAUUCCUGUUCGGGUUUGUCACUGCGACCAGUUUUUAGAUCUAUUGUGACAUUUCCCGUAUCCUUAGUGUAGUGCUUGUCGCAUUACUCAAUUGCCAUUGAGGGGCAAUAAAGAAUCGAUUUUGAUACAGUUUUUGUUAAGGGCCGAUUUCUUCACCUCGGCUUAACUGGUAAGCCAGGCUUACCCAUAUAGUUAAACCUGGUUUAACGCUUAAGCCAGGGUGAAGAAAUCGCCCCUUAGAAAACAAAACAAGAGUACUGAUAUUGGCCAUGCAUCGGAAACCUUGCAUCACCCUUGUUAUACUGCUAAAUUCUCCCCAGUAGGAAGUUUAGGACCCGGGUUUUAACAUUAGCAGCAAUAUCAUUCCAAUAAUGGAACAUGUGUUCAAUAAUAAGGAUUCUUAGUAUGUUCCUUGCGUACUAGCACUUUCCAGUCUUCGAAGAGUUAGUACAUACAUGGAUCCCUAACCCAAUUUGAUUUCCUUUGCAUUGAGUUUAGCCUCAGAUGGUGAGGUUUUUAACUAUAUGCAAAGUAAAGUUGGUAAACUCAGUUUUAUUCAAAAACUGGAAGUCACCAAAACACCAGUAGUAGGACUAAAUGCUAUAACUCCUUGAAUUACAAGAACACAUAUUCCAAAAUUGAAAAAUAAGACGACACUAGAUUUCGGUUUGGUAGAUCUAUCACCGCAACGCAACCCAAAAAGGCGAUCUACCCACGCUACGGGCUCCGUUAAAGAUCGAGCAUCUUUUAAACCCCCUCAACCAUUCAUCCCUCAGCACGGGUCGCCUGACACCUUGGAUUGGGGUUACCUGUUUGGUGGACUUUUACCCCCGGAACAGGUGGUCCGUAGUGCUAUUCUAAGCCGGCAGCUACACGGGCAAUGGCAAGGGGCUACAGGGAGGAAUCAUCACGCCCGCCACCCCGGAUUUCUGUAGACGGUGAUUAAAUUGAGGCGGUUGAAGAAUUCGUAUACUUGGGCUCACUGGGUACCGCCGACAACGACUCCAGCAGAGAAAUUCAGAGACGCAUUAUGGCAGGCAAUCGAGCUUACUUUGAACUCCGCAGAACUCUACGAUCGAAUAAAGUUCACCGUCACACAAAGUUAAUCAUCUACAGAUGAUUAGACCGGUAGUCAUCUAUGGGCACGAUACAUUGACUCUACGUGCAGAGGACCAUCGCACCCUCGGAGUUUUCGAACGAAAUGUGCUGCGUACCAUCUACGGCGGAGUGCAGAUGGAAGACGGAACUUGGAGAAGGCGAAUGAACCACGAGCUGCAUCAGCUGCUAAGAGAACCAACCUUCGUCCACACCGCAAAAAUCGGGAGGCUACGGUGGGCGGGACAUGUCAUCAGGAUGUUGGAUAGCAACCCGACUAAAAUGGUUCUCGAAAGUCAUCCGAUCGGGACAAAAAGACAGCGUACGCAGCGAGCAAGGUGGGUCGAUCAAGUGGAGGACGAUCUGCGGACUCUUCGCUGUGUACCAGUGUGUGGAUUUUUAUCACGAACCACUGAAUGGUCCAUGCUCAGCAAGUGAUACAUUCGCGAAUGUAACAUUUCAUGAACCAACAUGAUCGGGAACGCUCCCCGAAAUGCUGUUUACUCUCUUGCCCGGUUCAAUACGAGAGCGCAAUCAAGAGAGAAGAUGCUCGAUGACGCUAAUGAAAGCGAUGCAUUCGGUAAGAAUAUUUUAUUGCCAUAAUUCUUUUUUUAUUGUGACUACACAACCUGCAACGUCGGGAAUACAGUUAAAUUAAAUAGUAGUUCACGUUUUUAAAGCGAAAACGCAUUAAAUACUAAUGAAAAUAACGAUUAUUCACAGUUGCCCCCAGCCAACGAUGAGAGAUCAUCGGUAAGUGUUACACUUAGCGAUGCCCGCUCAUCGCCGCAGCUUGUUUAUAUCGGAGUAUCCUCUUUGUGUUCCUUCGUGAACCAUGCGACUCGACGAGAGAACAUACACCGCUUGGUAAUUGAAACAGAAUCAACAGAAGGGAAGAAAAACUGCAGAGUGGUUCACUGAUCACUUUUUCGUCCAAACACUGCUGUGUGCGGAACUGGAGACUUGCAGCCAUGAACCGAGUAGAAUGGAAACGGCUACUAUGUACAGCAGAGGCCACUCAAGCCUUAGUCUGACCGGUAAGUGAGUAAAGAACAUAGUCGGGAAAUCCUACAUUCCUUCCCUUCGGGGACCCUCCUAAUUCCUUGGACGCUGCCCAUAAACUACGUCGACUCUUUUUUGGUCAUCUCAGACCUCCCCUGUACACUUUCGUUUACACAACAUUUCAAAAAUUUGUACGGACCGUAGACUUUUCCCCCUUCCUCCUUCGAGUCUACGUGGUUUACAUACAGGUUCUUGAUGGAGAGAUGGAGAUUCUGGUUGCAGACGUCCACCACAUGCUUCGCCUUCAUGCAAGGCAGCCCUUUCAUCAUGAGCUUCCUGAGCCCAUCUAGAGCGGUUCUGUUAAAUCGCUCUAUCCGUCCAUUCGACUUAUGAUGAUAUGAUGAAGACACAUGCACCUGGAUGCUUCGCUCCUUCCAACUGAUGUUCUUCCUUGCUCCAUCCGUGAUUACGGUUUUAAUUACACACUCCUUGCGCACCAUCUUUCCAAACCUCACAUUCUCCUAUCGCUUCUCACACCACCUAUUAGGGAUAUCGGCUGACCAUGCAGCACCUGAUACCUGUACGCCAAAGCCUUCGCUACUCCAUGUAUCAAAUCAGUGUGUAUCCGACACAAUUCCCGUCUCCGCGACUCCUACUCUGCCGUUCUACGCCAAAUGGUCCCAUGUUAUAUGGGAAUCCCAUAUAACAUGGGACAAAUAUGCGUAGAACGGCAGUACUCUACCGACUUCUCGUUCUUCUUCGAGUUUACCAGCCUCCUGUCGAGUUAGCGCGUCAACAUGCGUAUGAUAAGGCUGUACAAGGAACAGUCUGCUCGAAAGAAUCUGCUUCAGCUCCUUUAACUUUGCCUCCUCAGGCUUCUCUCACUUAAAACAAGUGUCUUCAAUACUGCCGUAAUUCUGCAAAGUGACGUAAGCGCCAUUCAAUAUUUCGAAAAUUUUGAGUAUAUUAUACAUAUUAUCUGGUGAAAAAAUAGCACUGUGGUAUGCCUGCUGUAUUAGAAUGCAAGAUCUAGCCGUAAUCUAUCAUCUAUGGAAAGAAACUUAGAGGAUGACCAAAAGUUUUAUGCAUAAUAACCAAAAAAUGAGCCAAAACUAACAAUGUCGCUUACGUCACUUUGCAGAAUUACGGCAGAAUAGCUCAUGCAGUGGCUCCGCAAUCUCUGAGAAUCUAAGAAUAAAUUUACGGUAAUAGUUGAUUAUCCUAAGAACCUGCGCACCUCUUCCAAAGACCUUGGCUCUAUUAUGUCCUUACUUAUUACGUGUCCCAAGAACUCCACGUUUCCCACCUAGUACACACACUGCUCUUAGAGCCUCGUCGUGCUCCGCUCCUGUUCAUUCAAAGAUUAAAAUGUCGUCUACGUAGACAACACGCUUUCUUCCGAUCCCAAUACUUGGUCCAGGAGCCUUUGGAACACCGCCGGGAAGUUCUUGCACCCCAUUGGCAUCCUGUUCCACUCGUAGAGUAGAUUAUUUACUCUAAAGGCUGUCUUGUGAUGAUCGUCCUUCUGUAGUGAGAUCCUCCUUCAGAUCAACUUUACUGAACCAAGCCUGGUGCCUCAACCAAUGCACCAUCUCCUCGAUAUUUGAAAGAGCAUAAAAACGGAUCUUUCCGUCUUCCUUCGCCUGAUCCGAUUACACCAAGCCGACUUGAACGGACUAAUUCCUUCUCAAAUAAUCCCUCUGUAGUCUCUUCCAGUCUUUUCUAUAAGGCUUAAGAAAUCUUCGUCACACCUUCCAAGACCCUCACUCCUGGCCUCGUCUCUAUCUUGCAUUCAUGUGAGAUUGUAAUCCCCUCCUUUCUUCCCGUAAACAACUUCUCCAUCAACUCCUUCAGUGCGGACUCCAACUCCUCCGCUCCUGAUACCGCCUCUCCGUUUCCCUGUUCUGGCCUUCACCUGAGCUAAUUUAUCCAGCAGUGUUCUACUGCUAAAUCUUCAAACAUUUUAAAUAAUAUCUUCGUCAUAUCUUUUUCUCGGCCCAAGUCUCGGACCUAGACUGUUAAUUGCAGUGGCGAUUCCCUAACCUAAAAUCUACCUGUUCAACGAACGUAAAUACUUGAAUUUUCUCAUCAAAUAAGCUUGUAAUUUGUAAAAAAUGGCGAGAAUAGUCGUUUUCGUUUAUUUUUAGUUUGAUUCUUAUCCUUAAUUAUCCGCAAAUGCAAGUUUUAGAGUCGUUGAACAGGUAAAAAGUAAGGUUACGAGACGCCACUGGUUAAUUGGCUUUUCUCUUCGUCUGUCAAACGGCUUAAUAGAUGAAUUUAAACCACCACGCCUAGACAGGCGAUACAAAAAUUGUUGGAGAAACCACUGGAGUCUCAGAAGAAGCUCCUGUGAGAUUAUCUGAAGAAAUUCAUAGAGAAAUCCCUGAUGGAACUGCUGGAGGAAUCUUGGAAGAAUAUACUUCAAGAAACUCCUCUGAGGGAACGCCUGAAAGCAUCAUUGAUCAAAUUUUAAAAGAAUCCCUGAAGUAACCUCUGCAAGAAUUGCUGAAGGAACUACUGGAAAGAACCCUGAAUGAUCCCCUUGAUUAAAUAAACUCCUUAAGUAAUCAACGAACUGCUAAAGAAACUCCUGAAGAUCUUGGAGGAAUCUCUAUAGAAACCCCUGCUGAUAUUUACAAAGAAAUUUCUACAGGAAUCAAUAAAUAAACUCGUAGAGAAAUUCCCCAUUAUAAUCCUAGAGGAAUUGAUAAAGAAAAUCUGUGAGGAUUUCCUGGAGGACCUCCUAAAGGAAUCCCUGAUGGAACUGCUAUAAGAAACUCCGACGUAACCUCUGGGAAAUCGCUGAAAAAAAAUGAAUUGUUGAGAGAGGCAGGCCGAAAGGCUAUCAGUUUUUUUUUUCUUGCGACGCUAACGCUAACGUAAAAUACUGCAGAAAAUUGUUAGGCGGGCUUGGUUUCCAUCCCGCCUCAUAACACAGCAUAACCAAUUCUAUCAAGCAGCCAUUUCUCAAAACACUCCGAUUCGACAUCCGGACAAACUUUAGCAUACACAGAGCAGUUUUAGAUACGACCUGUCGAGAACAAGGAAUUACAUCAUCAUUAUUUCUCAUUUUUCCAUAUUGGCCAGCUUUUCGGUGUAGCAUGCCCAUCUAUUCAUGAAAAAUUAAAAUAGAAAAAAAAACAACACAUUACGGAGAUGCCUGUAAAUACUAAGCAGUUCUCUCAUUGAUUCCUUGUGACUGGUGGAGUAGUAAUAGCAAGUCAAGCCCAAGUGUGUUGCGGACAAUUCUCGGUGGGAAACUAUAAAACGUCAGAUGUUACAAACGCAUAAAUCAAGCAUAAUUUUUCAAAUCGACGUAUCUAACUUUUUCACUGAUCUGAGUAAAUUCAUGGUCAAUGUUGACGACCAUUUCACUAAAAUAGUUUUUUAUAAAAAGACUUUUCAUAAGUUUUUUCGUGCUUAACAUCACCAGGGAUAUAGCACGCACUAGGUAAGAAACAAAACCUACUCAUUCCAUAUCAUUUUCACAAUGAAUUUUGAUAAAAAUACACAUACAACGGGUUGGUUAGAGAUACGUCAUGCCAGAUACGUCGCUUUUGUAUGGUGCCAGUUUGGUGUAUCUGUUACUUUUGAUUUUGGCUAGAUACGUCGUUUGGUUUUCUCAUAUAUCAAAACGGUGUAUCUAUCAGUAAAGUUGUAAACAUCAAAAUAGUUAGAUACGUCGUUUCGAAUAAUAUGCUUAGUUAAACAAAUUAAGCAAUAAAUCAUCAAACAGUGACAUGGAUUCUUCAAUUUGCUUUAUGAAUCAUGCAUGUAGCAGUUAACCCAGAUUUGUUUACAUUCUCGAGUUACGUCGGAUUGAAAAGUUAUGCUUGAAAUCGCGAGUUGUAUCAAUACAAUUUAUCAAUGGCGUUCGACUUGGGUACGAACACGCUGGCUGCACGCCGUUGAAGAAGACCUGAGAACCCUAAAUGAUGAUGGGGAAAACUGCAGGAAUGUCUCAAGAAACACGCAAUAGGGCACCGCAUACGGCGGUUGCUAUGAUAAAUUUUUCUAAGUCUUUGACGUUUCGUGGCCUUGUUGUUUACGAUUUGGACUUAGGAAAAUUUCGUCGGCUUUCCUUAGGCAGUGUGAUUAAAUUCAAAAGGAAUUAUCAGCGGUUCCCGUCUACAAUCGUCCAUUACAGUAUCGCUGCCUGUCAGGACUUCGGAUCGACGAUUCACGCCAACAAGGUCAAGUUCCAAAUCAACUUGGAUGUGCAGCAACUUAAAUAUUUUGGUGAAGGCCUUCGACCAAGCCUCCGACAACAGCACAUCAUCGAAGGGAACACAUCGAGAAGCAGGACGAUUAUGGCUACCUACAUCUCCCAGUACUUCAUUCAGCGCUACUCCCUUCCACCGGAACUCGAUUUCAACCAGAUUAACUCGUCGAUUUCGUCGCACGGCAUCUUGACGAUUUCGGCUCCGAAGAGGGCAGUUGCGGAUGCGGAAGGCCACAAGUCGAUUCCGAUCGUUCAGAUAGGCCAACCGCUGAAGAGAAUCAGUGUCGAUCACGUAAAGAAGGAGAGCAUUACCCACAAAUCUUAGUGGAGUGGUGGUCGAGGUUUUACUGUUGCAACAAUUUACAUGAUCAGGACACAUUGUUCGCAUAGUACUUGUUAAUAAUUAGCUGAAUAAAUGAUAUCAGUUAGUGAUUGAA